ensembl:miRNA
GGGCCGCGGCUGCUGGGGCAGCGCAGGGAGGGCGGCCCUCGCGCUGGGCGCGCCCGGCCCCGCGGGGAGCUUCUGCCCG